rnacentral:rRNA from 1 species
AUUGAACGCUGGCGGCAGGCCUAACACAUGCAAGUCGAGCGGAUGAAGGGAGCUUGCUCCUGGAUUCAGCGGCGGACGGGUGAGUAAUGCCUAGGAAUCUGCCUGGUAGUGGGGGAUAACGUCCGGAAACGGGCGCUAAUACCGCAUACGUCCUGAGGGAGAAAGUGGGGGAGCUUCGGACCUCACGCUAUCAGAUGAGCCUAGGUCGGAUUAGCUAGUUGGUGGGGUAAAGGCCUACCAAGGCGACGAUCCGUAACUGGUCUGAGAGGAUGAUCAGUCACACUGGAACUGAGCCACGGUCCAGACUCCUACGGGAGGCAGCAGUGGGGAAUAUUGGACAAUGGGCGAAAGCCUGAUCCAGCCGGGCCGCGUGUGUUAAGAAGGUCUUCGGAUUGUAAAGCACUUUAAGUUGGGAGGAAGGGCAGUAAGUUAAUACCUUGCUGUUUUGACGUUACCAACAGAAUAAGCACCGGCUAACUUCGUG